rnacentral:rRNA from 1 species
UACGUAGGCAGCAAGCGUUGUUCGGAAUCACUGGGCUUAAAGCGUGUGUAGGCGGGCGAUCAAGUACCUUGUGAAAUCCCACGGCUCAACCGUGGAACCGCUGGGUAUACUGGUUGUCUUGAGCCGGCUAGGGGCGAGCGGAACAGACGGUGGAGCGGUGAAAUGCGUAGAUAUCGUCUGGAACGCCGAAGGUGAAAACAGCUCGCUGGGGCCGCGCUGACGCUGAGACACGAAAGCCAGGGGAGCGAACGGG